AGUUUCAAUUCCAAAUGAGACGUACUCAUAAGUUACCUCAACAUUCACAACAGCUGCACAUGGCAGCAAAGGGAUGUUUUCCAAUUAAACAAUUAUUACUCACCUGGUAUUUCCAGUCCACCAGUAGAACACCCAGAAGAUGGAGUCUAUUUUCCUCCUUUCCUUGAAUUUGGACUGGCCUACGACUUGCCAUAACCAACAGAAUAUGGUAGAAGUGACACUGUUCCAGUUCCAGACCUGGCCUUUGAGAAGACUGGCAGCUUCCAUUUCCUCCCUCUUGGAUGCCAGCCACCAUGUAAGAAAUCCAACCACACAGACACCCUUACACUGUGAAGAGACACCAUGCUGAGAAAGAGAGGUGCCUGACCAGCCCCAGAUGUUCCGUCCAUCCCAGCUGAGCUGCCAUUUAUGUAAGUGAAAAGGACAUCCUGGACAUUGUGCCUCCUGCAACACCUACAAACAAUACAUGAA